UGCGCGUCGGGAACUCGACGGCGACAAGGAAGAGGAGGAGCUCGUUCGCGAGGGAUCCGGCGUUCCAGAGCCCACGAAAAUGUCGGUUUAUUACGAGAAGGAGCCUUUCCCCCACGGKAAAGCCCUUUCCAUCCUGGACCUCAGCUCANGCGUGACUACCCGCUGAAUUUAAGCUUAUCAAUAACCAA
rnacentral:misc_RNA from 1 species